rnacentral:rRNA from 1 species
CACGCCGUAAACGAUGAGUGCUAAGUGUUAGGGGGUUUCCGCCCCUUAGUGCUGCAGCUAACGCAUUAAGCACUCCGCCUGGGGAGUACGGUCGCAAGACUGAAACUCAAAGGAAUUGACGGGGGCCCGCACAAGCGGUGGAGCAUGUGGUUUAAUUCGAAGCAACGCGAAGAACCUUACCAGGUCUUGACAUCCCGUUGACCACUGUAGAGAUAUAGUUUCCCCUUCGGGGGCAACGGUGACAGGUGGUGCAUGGUUGUCGUCAGCUCGUGUCGUGAGAUGUUGGGUUAAGUCCCGCAACGAGCGC